rnacentral:rRNA from 1 species
AACGUAGGACACGAGCGUUAUCCGGAGUUACUGGGCGUAAAGGGCGGGUAGGUGGUGCGAUAAGACUGGUGUGAAAGCCUUCGGCUUAACCGAGGGAGAACACUGGUGACUGUCGGACUUGAGGCAGAUAGAGGGGUGUAGAAUUCCGGGUGUAGUGGUGAAAUGCGUAGAGAUCCGGAGGAAUACCAGAGGCGAAGGCGGCACCCUGGGUCUGACCUGACACUGAUCCGCGACAGCAUGGGGAGCGAACGGG